GAUGAAGAACGUAGCGAAAUGCGAUAAGUAAUGUGAAUUGCAGAAUUCAGUGAAUCAUCGAAUCUUUGAACGCACAUUGCGCCCAUUAGUAUUCUAGUGGGCAUGCCUGUUCGAGCGUCAUUAAGUCCACUUAAGCCCUGCUUAGUGUUGGGAGACUGCUCCAGCGGUGCUACCCUGUAGCUACCCUGCAGCUCCUCAAAGACAGCGGCGGAGUUGUGGUAUCCUCUGAGCUUAGUAACUUGUUCUAGCUUUCGAGUACACCACUUCCCCUGCCGUAAAACCCUUAAUUUUUAAAGGUUGACCUCGGAUCAGGUAGGAAUACCCGCUGAACUUAAGCAUAUCAAUAAGCGGAGGA
rnacentral:misc_RNA from 1 species